GCCCGCAUGGCUCAGUGGUAGAGCGUGUCACUAGUAUUCUUGCUAUGACAAGGUCGUCAGUUCAAUUCUGGCUGUGGGCA